rnacentral:rRNA from 1 species
UACAGAGGUCUCAAGCGUUGUUUCGGAUUCAUUGGGCGUAAAGGGUGCGUAGGCUGCGCGGUAAGUCGGGUGUGAAAUCGUCGGGCGUUAACUCCGAAACUGCAUUCGAUACUGCCGUGCUUGAGGACUGGAGAGGAGACUGGAAUUUACGGUGUAGCGGUGAAAUGCGUAGAUAUCGAUGAAGGAAGACCAGUGGCGAAGGCGGGUCUCUGGACAGUUCCUGA